rnacentral:rRNA from 1 species
GAUGAACGCUAGCGGCAGGCCUAACACAUGCAAGUCAGGGGUAACAUAGAAAAGCUUGCUUUUCUGAUGACGACCGGCGCACGGGUGCGUAACGCGUAUACAACCUACCUUUUAGCGGGGAAUAGCCCAGGGAAACUUGGAUUAAUGCCUCAUAGUAUAUAGACUUCUCCUGAAGUUUAUAUUAAACAUUUAUGGCUAUUAGAUGGGUAUGCGUCCUAUUAGUUAGUUGGUAAGGUAACGGCUUACCAAGGCAGCGAUAGGUAGGGGUCCUGAGAGGGAGAUCCCCACACUGGUACUGAGACACGGACCAGACUCCUACGGGAGGCAGCAGUGAGGAAUAUUGGACAAUGGGCGAGAGCCUGAUCCAGCCAUGCCGCGUGCAGGAAGACUGCCCUAUGGGUUGUAAACUGCUUUUACAGAGGAAGAACCACCCCCACGUGUGGGGGUUUGACGGUACUCUGCGAAUAAGGAUCGGCUAACUCCGUG